CAAACUUGAGCGCCAACUUCAAUUUUUGUCAAAUAUUUAGGGAAAACUUGAAUUUCCCUCUCACUGCUAAUUAACCAACCCGCUGCAACUCGUCCACCCUCCCAACCAACGUAAAACCACGGAAACAACCCACCUCAAAUAUUCGUACACCCACACAUCUAAUUUCCGUCAAAACAAAAACUAAGUUGGCGCCUUUAGCUCACCUCAAAUUUUCAUAAAAUUUAAAUUUCCCUCCCUAGUGUAUACGGCAUUACACGCUGCAAACAUUCCUCUUGAUCUUAUUUCUUCCUUUUGCAUCUAGGUUUCAAAGUAUCAGCCUAGGAGUUACCAGCACCACACACGCCUUCUCCUGGUCUCCACACCGUUCGAAACCAACCUCCAUCUAUGAUGCUCUGUUUUGCUGCCCAAAAACAGAGUUUUUUGACUGAAAACGCACUGCCCUGAAGCCACUAGCCCGCUGGUUGCUGCUACUGCAAACGACGCCUUUGACGACAGUAGAAUAUGAUGCUCAUGCAACUUGAUGGGGGGAAGAUGAAGUGGCAUGGGUAGGUACGUACGUACGUAUGUGCUUGCCUAAUCAAUCUCACUUGCGAGUUGCACCUUCUUUCAAUUUUUGAAUCUGAUCAAUUUGAAUGCAUGGCCAAGAAUGCACUCACUUUGUCCAGCUGUGUGGUCAAAGCAUAGACAAGGGAUUGAAAAAAAUGUAAAAUGAAGAUUACAUAACUCGUUGUGUAGUUAUCAAGUAACAUGGAGGCUCAACAAUUGCACCACAAUUUCAAAGAACUAUUGGAUAAAUGUGAAGAACUACCUAUGAAAUAAAUGCUCCUAAAGCUAAUGACAAACAAAACGUGAAGAAGAAGAAUUAUCCAUGGGGAACUUUUAUGUGUUUUGAUUUGUAAUUUUUUUAUUAUAUGAAUAGUGGCCCAUUAUAUCAUAUUUAUUAUUAAUUAAUAUAUUAUAUAUUUUUUAUUGUGGGAUAUCAUAUUAUUGGUAUGUCCUAAAUUUUGUUAAUUAAUGCAAAGCACUGGUAAUAUAUUUGUAGUGGUGUUUAUAUUAAUGUCAUU